CAUCGGAACAUGUCCUGUAGUGGGGGGUAGCCCGGCGAAAGCCGGAUUAAUACCGCAUACGAUCUACGGAUGAAAGCGGGGGACCUUCGGGCCUCGCGCUAUAGGGUUGGCCGAUGGCUGAUUAGCUAGUUGGUGGGGUAAAGGCCUACCAAGGCGACGAUCAGUAGCUGGUCUGAGAGGACGACCAGCCACACUGGGACUGAGACACGGCCCAGACUCCUACGGGAGGCAGCAGUGGGGAAUUUUGGACAAUGGGCGAAAGCCUGAUCCAGCAAUGCCGCGUGUGUGAAGAAGGCCUUCGGGUUGUAAAGCACUUUUGUCCGGAAAGAAAUCCUUGGCUCUAAUACAGUCGGGGGAUGACGGUACCGGAAGAAUAAGCACCGGCUAACUACGUGCCAGCAGCCCCGGUAAUACGUAGGGUGCGAGCGUUAAUCGGAAUUACUGGGCGUAAAGCGUACGCAGGCGGUUUGCUAAGACCGAUGUGAAAUCCCCGGGCUCAACCUGGGAACUGCAUUGGUGACUGGCAGGCUAGAGUAUGGCAGAGGGGGGUAGAAUUCCACCGUGUAGCAGUGAAUAUGCGUAGAGAUGUGGAGGAAUACCGAUGGCGAAGGCAGCCCCCUGGGCCAA
rnacentral:rRNA from 1 species